UACGUAGGGUGCAAGCGUUAAUCGGAAUUACUGGGCGUAAAGCGUGCGCAGGCGGUUUUGUAAGUCAGAUGUGAAAUCCCCGGGCUUAACCUGGGAACUGCGUUUGAAACUACAAGGCUAGAGUGUGACAGAGGGGGGUGGAAUUCCACGUGUAGCAGUGAAAUGCGUAGAGAUGUGGAGGAACACCGAUGGCGAAGGCAGCCCCCUGGGGUUAACACUGACGCUCAGGCACGAAAGCGUGGGGAGCAAACAGG
rnacentral:rRNA from 1 species